CGCAGCCGCGGUAAUUCCAGCUCCAAUAGCGUAUAUUAAAGUUGUUGCAGUUAAAAAGCUCGUAGUUGAAUUUCGGGAUUGGCGCAUCGGUCGUGCCUCACGGGGUAUGAACUGGUGCAGUCAAUUUCUCACCUUCUGGAGAACCGCGAUGUCCUUAAUUGGAUGCCGCGGGGAACCAGGACCUUUACUUUGAAAAAUUAGAGUGUUUAAAGCAGGCAUUUUUGCUUGAAUACAUUAGCAUGGAAUAAUAAAAUAGGACGGCAUGGUUCUAUUUUGUUGGUUUCUAGGACCACCGUAAUGAUUAAUAGGGAUAGUUGGGGGCAUUAGUAUUCAAUUGUCAGAGGUGAAAUUCUUGGAUUUAUUGAAGACUAACUACUGCGAAAGCAUUUGCCAAGGAUGUUUUCAUUAAUCAAGAACGAAAGUUAGGGGAUCGAAGACGAUCAGAUACCG
rnacentral:rRNA from 2 species